CGAGUAGGUGGCCAUCUAAGUCAGACGUGAAAUCCCCCGGCUUAACCUGGGAACUGCGUCUGAUACUGGACGGCUUGAGUAUGGGAGAGGGAUGUAGAAUUCCAGGUGUAGCGGUGAAAUGCGUAGAUAUCUGGAGGAAUACCGGUGGCGAAGGCGGCAUCCUGGACCGGCACUGACGCUGAGUGAGCGAAACGCCGAGGGGAGACCGGGAAACG
rnacentral:rRNA from 1 species